rnacentral:rRNA from 1 species
GACGAACGCUGGGGGCGGGCCUAACACAUGCAAGUCGAACGAGUGGGGGAGGGGUGAGUAAUGUCGGGGAAACUGCCUGAUGGAGGGGGAUAACAACGGAAAACGGUAGCUAAUACUCAUAACCAUCAGAUGUGCCCAGUUGGGAUUAGCUAGUUGGGGGGGUAACGUUUGACAAAGGCGACGAUCCCUAGCUGGUCGGAGAGGAGGACCCGCCACACUGGAACUGAGACACGGUCCACACUCCUACGGGAGGCAGCAGUGGGGAAUAUUGCACAAUGGGCGCAAGCCUGAUGCAGCCAUGCCGCGUGUAUGAAGAAGGCCUUCGGGUUGUAAAGUACUGUCAGCGGGGAGGCGUUACCCGCAGAAGAAGCACCGGCGAACUCCGUGCCAGCAGCCGCGGUAAUUC